GCGUGUAUAGUAUAGGGGUUAGUAUGUCAGCCUUCCAACCCGAACAGCUGACGACCUGGGUUCGAGUCCCAGUGCACGCA
rfam:Tilletia walkeri strain DAOM 236422 scaffold_55, whole genome shotgun sequence.